AAGGAGAGAUGAAGGAAGAUGCUGAGAAAGGGAACAAUGUUGCUCAGCAUGUCAUUAGGAAAAGGAACAAAGAAUAUUAAGUGGCUGCCGAACAAGAUUCCAGCAAGUCAACAACAACACAUCCAUGAUGGACCUGUCAGCACCUGCCACCUGGGAAUGUAGCACCUACUUAGCAUGUGAUGAACGAAUUACAGCAUCCUGCUUUCCAUCCACCUCUCCAUCCCUGUCUGGCAUGCCAAGCACCUCAUGAGGCUAUGAACUAUAUUAAGAUAACUGUAAGAUAAUAGACCAAAUAUGUUAUAAAUCUGGACGUUUGUCAUACUAAUGUGAUAAAGUAUGGACUAUUGACUGUUUGACUUGAGGGGUAUCAGAACAGGGCAUGGGCCAAGUUGGACUAGACACAACUUUCUCACAGUAAACAGUGACCUGGGUGGUCAUAUCAAGGUCAAAGCCAUGAACACUGACAGUUCAGGCCACUCUAGUGUAUUAAAAACACUUAUGAUGAUUACAGUCUCCAUCCAGUUUGCUAAAAAUAAAAUAGAUCCAGUAUAGUCAUUCAGAUAGAUUUAAAAGGCAUGCUAGAAAUAUCCUAGGAAAUUAAUCUUUAAAAAGUGUCCUAACCAAGAAUGACACAACAAAACAAUAAAUAAUAAAACAAUAACAAUAAAAACUACAAUCUUAUUAUUUUUCCAAGCCAGCCAUGACCACAACAAAUGGCCUCUCUUUAGUCCAAUAUCAUGCUCCCCAUAACUGUACAUUAUAUUGGAUAUCUUUAAUUUAAAAAUUACAUUUUUUUGUAAUGUCAUGCAACAGCUUUGUGUUUAAACAGACAAAUCAUGUGAACACACAAAUAGCUGGAAACUUCUUGUAUUGUGCCUGGUAACUGCUGCACUCAGUCCAGCUGGCCUUCUCGGGGCAAAGCUGUAAAACAGAGCAACUGUGGAAAGGCUCAUGUCAGACAUGGGUCCAAGUCUUAGUUUCAGAACCAAAACACUGGCUCAGAUCUCACUCAAGGCCAAGCUGUAACUCUCAGGUCCACAGCUUUGGCUCAUGUAGCUAUCGGUGAGAAAGAGGGAGUCCAGCAGGGGCACUUAGUAGAUCAAUAAGUCUCUUACAUUUCUGAACACUUUAGCUCACUGGAAGUCCAAUACAAAACAUUAAUGUUUUAUUUAUAAAGACAAACUUUUUUUUACAAAAAUGAAAGUUAUGUAUAUUAGCGUUUACAUUUUAUGUUCCAUCUUAUCAUCUGGCAACCACAGAUGAAAUAAUGAUAAAAUAAAAUACCUCAUCCUGCUAACACGCAUUUAUGAGCUUUUCUCCCAAAUUGUAAUUAUCACGUAGCAUUACUCUCUCUAGCUCUACUCACUCCAUUUUCAGCCAAAGUCUGUUUUUAAUUCAGAAUAUUAUUUAUAACACACUGUAAAGUGACUAUUUGAAGUUUUGUUUUGCUUUGUCAGACAUUACUACAUAAAGUACAUGUUUGGGUUAUUUCUUUCAGUGUAGACAAUUUCUGAAAAAAUAAAAGGGUCCCUUUGGUGAGCAUUCUUUGCUAAAUUCCCUCCCUUCUACCCGUUUAUUUCUGUGAGCAAUACAUCGGUCUUGUGAACUUCUAAAAUGUCUCACAUAUCAAUAAUGCUGCUGAAAGCCUUUUAAGAACUUGGAAAAACCCUGUGAAAUUCAGCCAGAUAUUCCAGAUUUUGAUGGCAGAACUAUUGGCUAAAUAAAAGACUUUUCAAAUAAAAUCUGUGGGAACUCUCCAACCAUUACAAUAUCCAGAAAUGUAAUAAGUCACAGCAUUAAAUUCUAAAGCACAGCUGAAGGUCAUCAUGUACAUCCCGCACUGUUUUCCAUUUCCAUUUCCAUUAUGCCAGUCCUCUUAAAAUAAUAAAGGGGGUGACACAAGAAAAAGCACCGUGAUAUUCCACCCAAGAAUCUCUGGGGAUUGCCUCAUUUUAUUUCCAUGAUAGCUUUUAUAGAGUCCAGCUUUAAUACACAAAGGAGAUCUACAAGGGGCCUGCUGUAGCCGGAGCGAGGGGGCCGGAGGGGAGGGGGGCUCUUACAUAACACAGUUUGACUUCUGCUUCGUCAACAAAUGGCAGAGGGGGACAGAGAGAGAGUAAAGCUCACCAGAAUCACAGCAAACAGCUCCAAACAUGGCUCGAGAGUAGCGCUGUAGAAGAACAACCGUGGGUGUUUAAUUGAGAAUAGCCCAUCAGUACCAUAAACAUCUUCAGCAGACACACUGGACGGAGGCCUAGACUGUCACACUCUCAACACAUUUAAAAAACGGCAUCAUAAAAGGAAAUGUAUUCAGCUGUGGUAUUUGCCUCAGCCACCAUUCAUCUACAUGUUUUUUUUUCCGAGCAUGACAUUACUUUUAGAGAAACCUUGCAGCUGUAUUACGGAAGAAUAUGAAAGGUGAUGAACAACUGAAAAGGGAGCUAAUUCCAACAAAACAACAACUACAGGUGUAGAU
rnacentral:lncRNA from 1 species